UGUAGAAGGAGGUCACAGUUGCACAUUUCACUUGGCAACAGAAGAAGCAGCAGCAAUAUGGCUUCUUCUUCUUCUUCCCCAAUCUCGACACAGGAAGCAGCUCAUCUUUGCUCUUCAUCUCCUCCUCCUCCCCUUCUUCACCUCCCUGUAGAGCUUGGACUGCUACCCUGCUGCUGGUGGUGGUUACAGUGAGCAGGAAGCUGAUAGGGUCGCCUUCCUCCCUGGGCAGCCAACGAGCCCACAGGUCUCUCAGUUCUCAGGGUACAUCACUGUGAACAGCCAGAAUGGCAGGCCACUCUUCUACUGGUUCUUUGAGGCCCAGGCACUGCCAUCUCAGAAGCCUCUCCUGCUCUGGCUCAAUGGAGGGCCAGUUUGCUCAUCAAUUGGAUAUGGAGCUGCAUCUGAACUAGGAGCACUCAGAGUUAGCAGGAAUGGACCUGGGCUUGAGUUCAACAAAUUUGCUUGGAACAAAGAAUUUGCUGUUCCUGGAAUCUCCUGUUGGGGUUGGCUUCUCCUACGCCAACACAUCCUCUGACCUCACCAAACUGAAUGAUGGUUUUGUAGGAUUAUACAGGUUACAAGGAGAAAAAGGAAGAAGAAGAAAACUGUACAGAGAGAGGAGCUUGAAGCUUCUCAGGCUAACCACAGCCAAAUGAAGGAAAGUAAAACAGGAGAUGAGCCUAGCUUAUAGGUGUUGAUUGGACCAUUGAUUCAUUUUUCUUCUGGUUGUAAGUUGAUGAGCUCUUUUGCUUGAGUCAGUAUUUCUGGCAAUAGCUGUAUGUGUUGGUCAAAAAUCCUGUUGUUCCUUGCUUUCCAGAGUGUGUAUGCACACGCCGCAAACCAGAUUGGCUCUAUGCCCUUGAACCUGCUGUUUUGUUCAAUUAUUGCUUCCAAAAAAUGGUGUAUUGACUUGGAUAUGUUGGCCUGUCUUGACAGAUUAAGUCUUGCCCAUAA